rnacentral:rRNA from 1 species
CCCUUAGAUGUUCUGGGCUGCACGCGCGCUACACUGACGGAGCCAGCGAGCCUUGUCCUUCGCCGGAAGGUGCGGGUAAUCUUGCUAACCUCCGUCGUGCUGGGGAUAGAUGGUUGCAAUUAUUGAUCUUCAACGAGGAAUUCCUAGUAAGCGCAAGUCAUCAGCUUGCGUUGAUUACGUCCCUGCCCUUUGUACACACCGCCCGUCGCACCUACCGAUUGAAUGGUCCGGUGAAAUCUCGGGACGGCGGCUUGGUCGCUUGCGUCCGACUGCUGAAACUUGAUUAAACCAUAUCAUUUAGAGGAAGGUGAAGUCGUAACA